AUGAACGCUGGCGGCGUGCCUAAUACAUGCAAGUCGAGCGAACGGACGAGAAGCUUGCUUCUCUGAUGUUAGCAGCGGACGGGUGAGUAACACGUGGAUAACCUACCUAUAAGACUGGGAUAACUUCGGGAAACCGUAGCUAAUACCGGAUAAUAUUUUGAACCGCAUGGUUCAAAAGUGAAAGACGGUCUUGCUGUCACUUAUAGAUGGAUCCGCGCUGCAUUAGCUAGUUGGUAAGGUAACGGCUUACCAAGGCAACGAUGCAUAGCCGACCUGAGAGGGUGAUCGGCCACACUGGAACUGAGACACGGUCCAGACUCCUACGGGAGGCAGCAGUAGGGAAUCUUCCGCAAUGGGCGAAAGCCUGACGGAGCAACGCCGCGUGAGUGAUGAAGGUCUUCGGAUCGUAAAACUCUGUUAUUAGGGAAGAACAUAUGUGUAAGUAACUGUGCACAUCUUGACGGUACCUAAUCAGAAAGCCACGGCUAACUACGUG
rnacentral:rRNA from 1 species